rnacentral:rRNA from 1 species
UAGAGUUUGAUUAUGGCUCAGAACGAACGCUGGCGGCAUGCCUAACACAUGCAAGUCGAACGAAGGCUUCGGCCUUAGUGGCGCACGGGUGCGUAACGCGUGGGAAUCUGCCCUUAGGUUCGGAAUAACAGCUGGAAACGGCUGCUAAUACCGGAUGAUAUCGCGAGAUCAAAGAUUUAUCGCCUGAGGAUGAGCCCGCGUUGGAUUAGGUAGUUGGUGGGGUAAAGGCCUACCAAGCCGACGAUCCAUAGCUGGUCUGAGAGGAUGAUCAGCCACACUGGGACUGAGACACGGCCCAGACUCCUACGGGAGGCAGCAGUGGGGAAUAUUGGACAAUGGGCGAAAGCCUGAUCCAGCAAUGCCGCGUGAGUGAUGAAGGCCCUAGGGUUGUAAAGCUCUUUUACCCGGGAAGAUAAUGACUGUACCGGGAGAAUAAGCCCCGGCUAACUCCGUGCCAGCAGCCGCGGUAAU